UCGCGUUUAGCAGUGCCAUUGAAAGCCGUACAGAAAGACGUAUUUCUUUUCGCCACGGGUCCUUCUCACCCUUUCGCACCGGUGCGAGUGGACUUGUAUUUAUCUUCGCACGUUAUAUAUUUUAAUAGCAAAUGCGAUCAAAACGGUCGCACUGUACAGCCCUGCUUUCACGUCAAAAUUCGUCACUACGUUCAGCAAGCAAGACUGACCAAUCCCGGGAAAUUUCGUGUAAUGACGUCACGCCGUUCAGAUGUUAUCCCGCAAACCUGUUUUCGAGAGUUGUCAGAAAAUUUGCCUUUGAGAUGGCAGUGCACUUCAGCUGCCCAUUCCCUGCAUCCUGGUCGAGGAAGAGCAUGGCGGGGAAGGACUGGUUCACCUCCUUCAUGGAGCGCAGUGGCAGCCUCUCCCUUCGGCGUCCAGAGGCCACUAGCCAACAACGGUUGUCAAAUUUCAACCAAAGAAAUGUCAACUUGUUCCACCAAAAUUUAAAGACGGUGCUGGACCGGCACCAGUUCCAGGCCAAGGACAUUUGGAACAUUGAUGAAACCGGGGUCACCACUGUCCAGGUGCCAGACCGUGUCGUCGCCCAGAUGGGGCAGAAGCAGGUCGGGUCAGUGACCUCAGCGGAGAGGGGGACCCUGGUCACAGUUGCCCUGGCAGGAAAUGCGCAAGGUGACCUUGUUCCGCCAUUCUUCAUCUUCCCCCGUAAGCGGUUCAAAGACCACUUCCUGAGGGGUGGACCCGUUGGCUAUGCUGGCACCGCCAACCCAACUGGAUGGAUGAAGGAGCCAGACUUCCUCCUGUACCUGGCCCACUUCACCAGUCACACCCGUGUGUCCAAGGAGUCGAAGCUGCUCCUCCUGCUGGACAAUCACCCGUCCCACCUGUCAAUUGCAGCAAUUGAUUACUGCAGAGCCAAUGGCAUAGUGCUGCUAUCAUUCCCUCCCACUGCACCCACAGGUUGCAGCCAAUGGACAUUAGUGUCUUCGGCCCCCUAAAGGGGUACGUAAACAGUGCGGCGGACAGGUGGAUGAGGAGCCACCCAGGGAUAAACAUCUCAAUUUAUGAUGUGCCCUCCAUCGUUGCUGAAGCCUUUCCAAAGGCUGCAACAGUGAACAACAUUACCUCCGGGUUCUCAAGUCCAGGGUCUGGCCUUUUAACCCCUCUGCAUUUGAGGAAAAGGACUUCGCCGGAGCCUAUUCAACAGACCGUCCUCCUCCCCAGGCUUCGGGUGACGAGGUCAGCGCUUCUCCAGGUGCCACUUCAGGUAGGAACAGUUCAUCAGAAGCAACAGAGGAUUAAACAGUUCAUAAUAGAUAAGUAAAUAGUCCCAUAAGUCCAAGUUCAUAAAAAAAGUCCAUAGGGUAGUGGACGGCAGAGAAGCUGCUAGACCACCAGGCCACAACUCUCACAUCAGGGUAUUUAACAAAGAUCAGGAGGGUGAGUUUAUAAACAUUUAUUUAAAAGUGUGUAUUUUUUAAAUGUGUCCUUUGGCAGGCAUGGAUGUACCUGAUCGAGCUGCCGGGCCUGAAGAAGCUGCCGGGCCUGAUCGAGCUGCCGGGCCUAACGAAGCUGCCGGGCCUGACGAAGCUGCCGGGCCUGACGAAGCUGUCCGGCCUGAGGGAGAGGCCGCUGAAUUCAGCCCGGACAUCGUCCGGCCUUACCCUAAGGCCGGACCUAGAAAGAUCACAAAGAGAAGAGGGAGAAAGAGGACAACUGCUAUACUUACGGACACCCCGGUGAGGUCUGCUUUAGAGGCGGAAAAGCAGGGAACUGUGAAGCAGCGUUGUCCCGCCAAGCAGCCUCCCUCCUCUCGGGCUCCCAAGAAGAGGCUGUUCUCGCCCGCUCCUGAUGCCGCCCCCCUUGCUGGAGUCACACCUGUUGCCACCUCAGCUGCUCCUCCCACCAUCACCUGGCCCGCUGAUGGAGUCAGCCCCACCUUAGGCCUAGUGUGUCCUGUUCCGGAGGCAGCAGAGUUCACCACUAUUGCUGCCUCUACUUCUCCAAUUUAUUUAGGCCUAUCCAGCGAGGACGUCAGCUGCCUCGUGUGCUGCGAGCUCUUCAGCGCCUCGAUGCCUGGGGAAGAGUGGGUCCAGUGUGUCUUUUGUUACAAGUGGUCGCAUGAGGCUUGCACCGACGGGAGUGCACACAACCUGUGUCACCUGUGUGACAAAGAAUAAAAAUAUUCAGCCUACUAUACUGUCCAUGUGUCUUCACUAGUUUGCAGUGGAAAUACUGUAAAUGUAGGCCUACAGCACAAUUCACUUAACAUUAUAGACUGAUUAACUAACUAACUAUGAGGCCUGGGUUAGGCUAUGAGUGG
ensembl:lncRNA